UGAGGAAUAUUGGGCAAUGCCCGCAAGGGUGACCCAGCAACGCCGCGUGGAGGAUGAAUGUCGUAAGAUUGUAAACUCCUGUUAGAGGGGAAGAAUAGUACCGGUUGGACCGGUAUAUGACUGUACCCUCAGAGAAAGCCCCGGCUAACUACGUGCCAGCAGCCGCGGUAAUACGUAGGGGGCAAGCGUUGUCCGGAUUUACUGGGUGUCAAGGGCGCGCAGGCGGGAUAAAAAGUCAGUGGUGAAAUCCUACAGCUUAACUGUAGAACUGCCUUUGAUACUUUUAUUCUUGAGUUCGGGAGAGAGAGACGGAAUUCCAGGUGUAGUGGUGAAAUACGUAGAUAUCUGGAAGAACACCCGUUGCGAAGGCGGUCUCUUGGUCCGACACUGACGCUGAGGCGCGAAAGCGUGGGGAGCAAACA
rnacentral:rRNA from 1 species